rnacentral:rRNA from 1 species
UACGGGGGGGGCAAGCGUUGUUCGGAAUUACUGGGCGUAAAGGGCGCGUAGGCGGUUUGCUAAGUGGAAUGUGAAAACUCUGGGCUUAACCCAGAGCCUGCAUUCAAUACUGGCAGGCUAGAGUUCUGGAGGGGAUAGCGGAAUUCCUGGUGUAGCGGUGAAAUGCGUAGAUAUCAGGAGGAACACCGGUGGCGAAGGCGGCUAUCUGGGAAGAUACUGACGCUGAGGUGCGAAAGCGUGGGGAGCAAACAGG